GAUGAAGAACGUAGCGAAAUGCGAUAAGUAAUGUGAAUUGCAGAAUUCAGUGAAUCAUCGAAUCUUUGAACGCACAUUGCGCCCAUCUGUAUUCUGUUGGGCAUGCCUGUCCGAGCGUCAUUUCAACCCUCAGGGCCCGUUCGCGGGAACUGGUGUUGGGGAUCGGCCUCCCCCCGGAGGCCGGCCCCGAAAUGCAGUGGCGGCUCUACCGCGAUCUCCUCUGUGUAGUAGCGAUACCUCGCAGCUGGAUAGUGGUGGUGCCACGCCGUAAAAUCCCAACUUUACCAAGGUUGACCUCGGAUCAGGUAGGAAUACCCGCUGAACUUAAGCAUAUCAAUAAGCGGAGGA
rnacentral:misc_RNA from 1 species